UACGGGCAAGCUACUAAGGGCGCGCGGGGGAUGCCUUGGCAGGAGCAGGCGACGAAGGACGCGGCCAGCUGCGAAAAUCCUCGGGGAGCUGCAAGCAAGCUUGGAGCCGGGGGUGUCCGAAUGGGGGAACCCGGCGGGAGCGCGACUCCCGCCGCGGGCCGGCGGGGGGGCGCGGGGGGGGGCCCCCGGGAGGUUUUAAAAAAAGCGCGCCCCCGAGGAGAAAAAAAAAAAAAAUAAGCCCCAAAGGGCGCGGGCGACCNNNNNNNNNNGGCCCUCCUUCUAUAACUCGGGGGGUUUUUAACACCCCCCUGGUGGGGGGGGGGCCCCCCGGGGGCCCCCGGGGGGGGGGCGCGCCCCCCCCCCCCGCCGGCCUGGGGGCCGGCGGGGCGAACCCGGGGAAGUGAACCAUCUCAGUACCCGGAGGAAGAGAAAACAACAGUGAUUCCGCCAGUAGCGGCGAGCGAACGCGGAGGAGCCCAAACCGGGCCGCCCCCUCGGGGGGGCCCGGGGUUGUAGGGCCCCCCUGUGGGGGCGCGCGGCGCCUAGCCGAAGGGCCUGGAAAGGCCGGCCGGAGGGAGUGACAGCCUCGUAGGCGAAAGGCGGCGCGCGGCCCGGGGGGGAUCCCUGAGUACCGCGGGGCACGGGAAACCCAGCGGGAAGCUGCCGGGACCAUCCGGCAAGGCUAAACACUCGCUCCUGACCGAUAGUGGACCAGUACCGCGAGGGAAAGGUGAAAAGCACCCCUGCUAGGGGAGUGAAACAGUGCCUGAAACCGCGCGCCUACAAGCAGCGGGAGGGUUGCCCUCAGGGGCGGCCUGACCGCGUGCCUUUUGCAUAAUGAGCUGGCUAGUCGGCCCCGGCGGCGAGGUUAAGGAAGACCGAGCCGCAGCGAAAGCGAGUCCGAAGGGGGCGCGCAGUCGCCGGGGCCGGACGCGAAGCGGGAUGAGCUGCCCUUGGCCAGGGCGAAGCCCGUGUGACAGCGGGUGGAGGCCCGAACCGGUGUCGGUUGAAAACGGCUCGGAUGAGCCGAGGGCAGGGGUGAAAGGCCAAUCAAAUUCCGUGAUAGCUCGUUCUCUCCGAAAUAGCUUUAGGGCUAGCCUCGCGCGACGCGCGGCGGCGGUAGGCCACUGGCUGGACUAGGGGGCUUCGCAGCCUGCCGCAUCCAACCAAAGCGCGAAUGCCGCCGACGCAGGCGCGGGAGUCAGACCGCGGGGGCUAAGCUCCGCGGUCGAGAGGAAAACAGUCCAGACCGCCGGCUAAGGCCCCCAAGCAGCGCUGAGUGGGUAAGGAAGUCAGUCCGCGACGACAGCCAGGAGGUUGGCUUAGAAGCAGCCACCCUUUCAAGAAAGCGUAACAGCUCACUGGUCGAGCGGGCCGGCGCCGAAAAUGUAACGGGGCUCAAGCGCAGCGCCGAAGCCGCGGGCCGCGGCCCCCCUUUGGGGGAGCCGGGGCGGUAGGAGAGCGUUCGCGCCGCCGCCGAAGGCGGCCCGGGAGGGCCGCUGGAGGGGCGCGAAGCGACUCUGCCAGCAUUAGUAGCGAGAAGCCGGGCGAGAACCCCGGCCGCCGCAAGUCUAAGGGUUCCCGGGCAAGGUCGUUCCGCCCGGGGUCAGUCGGGUCCUAAGGCGAGGCCGCGAGGCGUAGCCGAUGGGCGCGCGGUUAACAUUCCGCGACCGCCACGCCGCCGCUAUCACGACGGGGUGACGCAGGAAGCGAAGCGGGAGGGGCGAUGGAAGACCCCUUUGGCCGCCUCGAGGCCGCCGGGCAGGCAAAUCCGCCCGGCGCGAGGCCGAGGGCGGACGCGAGGCCGCGAGGCCGCAAAGCCGCGUAGCUACACUGCCGGGAAAAACCUCUAAGGAGGGGGCGUGGCGCCCGUACCGCAAACGGACACACGUAGACGGGAAGAGCAUUCUCAGGCGCUCGGGUGAUUGGUCGUCCAGGAACUCGGCAAACUGGCCCCGUAACCUCGGGAGAAGGGGCGCCCCCGCGAGGGGGCCGCAGGGAAACGGCUCAGGCGACUGUUUAGCAAAAACACAGGUCUCUGCAAAGUCGAACACGACGUAUAGGGGCUGACGCCUGCCCGGUGCCGGAAGGUUAACAGGAGCGGUGAGCUUCGGCGAGGCCGCGAAUCGAAGCCCCGGUGAACGGCGGCCGUAACUAUAACGGUCCUAAGGUAGCGAA
rnacentral:rRNA from 1 species